GGGGGUGUAUAAAGUGGCGAACGGGUGAGUAACAGGUGGGUAAUCUGCCUUUCGGUGGGGGACAACGGCUGGAAACGGCCGCUAAUACCGCAUGUGAUUGCUUUGUCAUAAGACUAGGCAAGGAAAGACGCGUUUGCGUCGCCGAAAGAUGAGCCCGCCCCCCAUUAGCUUGUUGGUGUGAUAACAGCGCACCAAGGCUUCGAUGGGUAGCCGAGCUGAGAGGUUGAUCGGCCACACUGGAACUGAGAUACGGUCCAGACACCUACGGGUGGCAGCAGUAGGGAAUAUUGCGCAAUGGGCGAAAGCCUGACGCAGCCAUGCCGCGUGGAUGAUGAAGGCCUUCGGGUCGUAAAGUCCUUUUCUGAGGGAAGAACAAGUGGGGAAGGAAAUGUCCCCGCCCUGACGGUACCUCAGGAAUAAGCAACGGCAAACUCCGUGCCAGCAGCCGCGGUAAUACGGAGGUUGCAAGCGUUGUUCGGAUUUACUGGGCGUAAAGGGAGCGCAGGUGGCUAGGU
rnacentral:rRNA from 1 species